rnacentral:misc_RNA from 1 species
CUUUCUACUACGGAGACUGCAUCGUGGACCCUCAACCACAAUAUCACUGCCAUCCAUCUUAAGUUUCAACUUCAGCUUGUCAAACUCUUUAUCUGUCAAAAUCGGAUUCCCAGAUACAUAAGCCAUAGAAGCUUCCAAAAAUCUCUGUUCAUCGGCACUUAGCAUGACAACACUGCUCCCUUCCCACAUAAGUUCUUCCUUGAGGUUAUCAAAUUCCUC